GCCUACUUAAGGCACUCCCCUUACCUGGCUCCUUACCGUUCGAGGUCAGCGUUGAAUGAGGAUCCACUUCCGGGUUCUCUCAGACGCCAUCUUGUUUUUUCAGUAUCCAUAAGGUUUUUCCGCGGCAAGCGGUGUCCAGGAAUCCUGUUCAGGCCUUUUCCGUCCGUCCAGCUUCUGACCCCAGUCAUCGUCGUAGAUCGCGUCCCAGGGACUCCUAAACUGUAAGUUAGACCUACCUUUCAAGCCAGGACCGGUUCCCACGGCGUACGGUACAGCACGGGUCCUCGCUUUACGUUUUUUCCCCUGUUAUGUCACGAAUUGUACAAGCCGUUCGCGGUUUUCAUUCAUACGG